AACGCACGAGACCUGCGGACCUGCGGAAGGAUCAUACCGAGUUAUCCAACUCCCAACCCCUGUGAAUCAUACCUUUAAUUGUUGCUUCGGCGGGACUUCGCGCCCGCCGGGGACCCAAACCUUCUGAAUUUUUUAAUAAGUAUCUUCUGAGUGGUUAAAAAAAAUGAAUCAAAACUUUCAACAACGGAUCUCU
rnacentral:misc_RNA from 1 species